GAUGGGGGAUGCAAGUGUUAUCCGGAUUUACUGGGCGUAAAGCGUCUGCAGGUGGUUUCUUAAGUCUACUGUUAAAUCUUGAGGCUCAACCUCAAAUCUGCAGUAGAAACUAGGAGACUUGAGUAUAGUAGGGGUAGAGGGAAUUUCCAGUGGAGCGGUGAAAUGCGUAGAUAUUGGAAAGAACACCGAUGGCGAAGGCACUCUACUGGGCUAUUACUGACACUCAGAGACGAAAGCUAGGGGAGCAAAUGGG
rnacentral:rRNA from 1 species